AACAACAUCCUGGGAUUGGGACACACUUUCUGGGCACUGCUGGCCAGUCCCAAAAUGGAACAUAAGGAAGUGGUUCUUCUACUUCUUUUAUUUCUGAAAUCAGGUCAAGGAGAGCCCCUGGAUGACUAUGUGAAUACCCAGGGGCCUUCACUGUUCAGUGUCACUAAGAAGCAGCUGGGGGCAGGAAGCAGAGAAGAAUGUGCAGCAAAAUGUGAAGAGGACAAAGAAUUCACCUGCAGGGCAUUCCAAUAUCACAGUAAAGAGCAACAAUGUGUGAUAAUGGCUGAAAACAGGAAGUCCUCCAUAAUCAUUAGGAUGAGAGAUGCAGUUUUAUUUGAAAAGUAAAUUUCUGUGGGUCAGGAGAUCAGAAAUGGUUCUAUUUCAAGGUCUCUCACAGGGCUGCAAUCAAGAUGUUGGCAUGGCUGGGGUCUCAUCUGAAGGCUGGACUGGAGAAGAAUCUACUUCCAAACUUAUGUGGUAGUUGGAAGAAUUUAGUUCCUCAAGGCUGCUAAACUGAUGGCCUGUGUUCCUUGCCUCUGGGAUGGUAGCUUGCUUCAACAAAGUGUGCAAGCAGAGAAGACAGAGAGAGUCCGCUAGCAAGAUAGAAGCCACAAUCUCUUGUAAUCUAUCAUUUUUGCUGUAUGCUACUGGUUAAAAAUAACUCAUUAGGUUAGCCUACUGGCUCUCAGGGGGAAGAGAUUAUACAAAGGCAUGAAUUUCUGGAGGAGGGAAUGAGGGCAAAGAACUCUGAAAAGUUUCUCUUCCACAAUCUGAAGAACUUCUAGAAAGUAGAAGGAAGCAAUAUUGCUUAGGGAUGGACAACUUGGCACUGGUUAUGUGUUCCAAGUGAGGUAACCUUGUUCCCAGGAAUAAAGAGAACCAGAUGACUGUAAACAUUUCCCUAAACUGAAAUGCACUGUUGUAUGUUCACCUGAAAUGAAUGGUGUAAGCUGAAUAUGAGAUUUUUGACAAAAUAAAAAUUUUGCUGUGUUCUCAGAUCUGGC
rnacentral:lncRNA from 10 species